GAAAUGAUUCUCAAAAUCUUCUUCUUCAUGUUGGGUUCUGGUGCAGAAGCUGGAGCAACAGUCUCAGCAGCUGCUAAUGAAGCCACUGGACUCCCUCCUCUAUACAGAGUGCUCUCCCCAUCCGCAACAUGGCGUAAUGAAGUAACAUGACAGGAGCACAGGCAGCAUGCUGUAGAGGAGGCAGGAGAGACAGAGGCAUGCAGGGAGGGAAAAAGCCUCCGUCUGUGAGCACCGUCCGUCUCCUCAUGCCUGGAAAGCUCUGGUGCCAUCUGUGGCCCUCUGGGGGACGGGGGAAGCCAUGCCCGUGCCACCGGCGACAAAGCCCCCUGUCAGCUCCCUGGAGCCAGGCGCAAUGAGGGAGGGAGGGAGGCCAUCUUGAGGGAAAUCUCACUGAAACAGCUAAGAUGGCUGGACUGGCACACGAGACAUGGCUGAGAACUUAAACUACACCCUUGUGAGAUGGUGAGAUGUUCAACUGCGGUAGGAGAGACCGGACAACCUCAGUGGGCUUUGCAGAAGAUCUUCUCUUGGAAAGAAGAAUUAAGCUUAUAUGGUGUAACAUUUCAGUGAAGAGAUGUCCUGCAUGUGUUUGGCUCAGCUUUUAAAAUGUUAAUGAACUUUUCUGUCUCAUUGUGCAUGUGUGGAGUCACAGUCUGUAGGGCAGAUGUGCUGAACGUGAGUUUUAUUGCUGCAGCUUUGGGGUCUACCUACUGGACUGUAAAUGUUCACUGUGGUAUAUUUUAUAUUUUGGAAAUGACUGUACAAAAUGUGCAAUUCUUUCACUUGUUUUGGACUCAAGAUCUGUGAAUAAACAUUUUAAAUAAA